CUGAAAUGGAGGCAACGGUGGGCUUCGGCAGUUGCGUAGAAGAGUGUAGCUGCCCUGCAAAAUUAUUAAAAUCUAUUAUCCUUCAGCUGGGAUGCAGAGGAAAAAGGAUUCUCUUCCAUCGAAGACUGUGGAUUUUAUUAUCAUAAUGCAGGUAUUCCAGAGUACCUUUCCCUAAGAACCUCAACCCACACCACCUGAUCCUCGCAGGCCAUGCUGUUAUGCAUUGCCACAUUGAGACAGGCCAAGAAGACAUCUACAAGAAAUCAAGCCACCUUGGAUGUGGCCCCAUCCUUAUAGAAUGGGCUCCCAAUAAAACUGUGC